rnacentral:rRNA from 1 species
AAGGUGGGGAUGACGUCAAAUCAUCAUGCCCCUUAUGAUUUGGGCUACACACGUGCUACAAUGGACAAUACAAAGGGUAGCGAAACCGCGAGGUCAAGCAAAUCCCAUAAAGUUGUUCUCAGUUCGGAUUGUAGUCUGCAACUCGACUACAUGAAGCUGGAAUCGCUAGUAAUCGUAGAUCAGCAUGCUACGGUGAAUACGUUCCCGGGUCUUGUACACACCGCCCGUCACACCACGAGAGUUUGUAACACCCGAAGCCGGUGGAGUAACCUUUUAGGAGCUAGCCGUCGAAGGUGGGACAAAUGAUUGGGGUGAAGUCGUAACAAGGUAGCCGUAUCGGAAGGUGCGGCUGGAUCACCUCCUUUCUAAGGA